UACGUAGGGGCCUAGCGUUGUCCGGAUUUAUUGGGCGUAAAGAGCUCGUAGGCGGUUCGGUAAGUCAGGUGUGAAAUCUCCACGCUCAACGUGGAGGCGCCACCUGAAACUGCCGUGACUCGAGUCCGGUAGGGGAGUGUGGAAUUCCCGGUGUAGCGGUGAAAUGCGCAGAUAUCGGGAGGAACACCAGUGGCGAAGGCGGGUCUCUGGGCAAUUCCUGACGCUGAGGCGGCGAAAGCGGUGGGGAGCAAACGGG
rnacentral:rRNA from 1 species